rnacentral:rRNA from 1 species
ACGAACGCUGGCGGCGUGCCUAAUACAUGCAAGUAGAACGCUGAAGGAGGAGCUUGCUUCUCUGGAUGAGUUGCGAACGGGUGAGUAACGCGUAGGUAACCUGCCUGGUAGCGGGGGAUAACUAUUGGAAACGAUAGCUAAUACCGCAUAAGAGUAGAUGUUGCAUGACAUUUGCUUAAAAGGUGCAAUUGCAUCACUACCAGAUGGACCUGCGUUGUAUUAGCUAGUUGGUGAGGUAACGGCUCACCAAGGCAACGAUACAUAGCCGACCUGAGAGGGUGAUCGGCCACACUGGGACUGAGACACGGCCCAGACUCCUACGGGAGGCAGCAGUAGGGAAUCUUCGGCAAUGGACGGAAGUCUGACCGAGCAACGCCGCGUGAGUGAAGAAGGUUUUCGGAUCGUAAAGCUCUGUUGUAAGAGAAGAACGAGUGUGAGAGUGGAAAGUUCACACUGUGACGGUAUCUUACCAGAAAGGGACGGCUAACUACGU